AGAUCAGAGUUCAAAUCACGACGAAGAGUGUAAACUUUAAGUUUACCAAAUGCAAAGCCUAUUAUUCCAAUUAAGCAUACAAAACCUGGCACCCCAACUCCAAUUAUAAUGCCAUAUUUGGCUCCUCUUGGAAGUCCUUUAGAAGGAGGAGGAUUUGAACAAGCAAUAUCAGAUCCAGUAUCACUCUUAAAAGCACAAAGUUUCCCUUGAUUUUCACAAAUCCUGCAACUUGGUUCACUCCAAGUUAACACAAGACCUUCCAUUGGAGACCAAAACUGCGAAUCUUCCAAUUGCAGAGGAACAGAAACUCUAGAAUUAAUCAAUUUACAACCAACUGGUUUUUCUUGCUCAUAGAUACUCGGCGGCAUCGCCAAAAUCGCCUCAUUUCUGCUCGUAACUCCCCGGCAAUACAACGGAAUCGCUACCUGAUAAUUU
rnacentral:misc_RNA from 1 species